rnacentral:lncRNA from 1 species
UAGUACUCUGCAUGCGGUACUAGAUGUUCCACACAUGCUUCUGGACUGAUCUGUCAUGAGACCUGGCAUUCAUGGGUUACAACUUUGAGAUUUUGAAAUGCAGUGUUUGCAUUGCAAGUGACAUCUGGCUGACAGGAACUUGGAGAAAUGGGAUACGAAGUGAAUGCUGCAGUUACCACAAGCAUCAUAUUUAUCAAAAGGUUUAAGGUUGGCCUGUCUUUGUUUAACAUAUGAAACUUGGAACAGUGAUGGGGAAGCGCUAUGUUUUGGUGUUGCGUGCAUUUUUUAACUGAGCUUUUUAGUAAAAGAGUAGUCGGAGAAUAAACACUAAUUGUAUUA